rnacentral:tRNA from 1 species
GCUGCUUGGAUGGUUCCAGUACGGGCUCAUUUCCCAAUACCAAAAAGUUCGAUUCUUUUAAGUGGCC